rnacentral:rRNA from 1 species
UACGUAGGGGGCAAGCGUUGUCCGGAUUUAUUGGGCGUAAAGAGCGUGUAGGCGGCCGUACAGGUCAGCUGUGAAAACUCGAGGCUCAACCUCGAGACGUCGGUUGAAACCGUACGGCUAGAGUCCGGAAGAGGAGAGUGGAAUUCCCGGUGUAGCGGUGAAAUGCGCAGAUAUCGGGAAGAACACCCGUGGCGAAGGCGGCUCUCUGGGACGGUACUGACGCUGAGACGCGAAAGCGUGGGAGCGAACAGG